rnacentral:rRNA from 1 species
AGGCGAACAAUGUUCUUAAAGUUUGACCUCAAAUCAGGUAGGAGUACCCGCUGAACUUAAGCAUAUCAAUAAGCGGAGGAAAAGAAACCAACCGGGAUUGCCUUAGUAACGGCGAGUGAAGCGGCAAAAGCUCAAAUUUGAAAUCUGGUACCUUUGGUGCCCGAGUUGUAAUUUGGAGAGGGCAACUUUGGGACCGUUCCUUGUCUAUGUUCCUUGGAACAGGACGUCAUAGAGGGUGAGAAUCCCGUGUGGCGAGGAGUGCGGUUCUAUGUAAAGUGCCUUCGAAGAGUCGAGUUGUUUGGGAAUGCAGCUCUAAGUGGGUGGUAAAUUCCAUCUAAAGCUAAAUAUUGGCGAGAGACCGAUAGCGAACAAGUACAGUGAUGGAAAGAUGAAAAGAACUUUGAAAAGAGAGUGAAAAAGUACGUGAAAUUGUUGAAAGGGAAGGGCAUUUGAUCAGACAUGGUGUUUUGCGCCCUCUGCUCCUUGUGGGUGGGGGAAUCUCGCAGUUCACUGGGCCAGCAUCAGUUUUGGUGGCAGGAUAAAUCCGUAGGAAUGUAACUUGCUUCGGGAAGUAUUAUAGCCUAUGGGAAUACUGCCAGCUGGGACUGAGGACUGCGACGUAAGUCA